rnacentral:tRNA from 2 species
GCCGAGAUCGCAUAGCCCGGUAUUGCGGUAGAUUCGAAAUCUACUGUCCAUUGGACGCGGGGGUUCAAAUCCCUCUCUCGGCGCCA